rnacentral:lncRNA from 1 species
GGGCUGCGGACAGGCUGGCAGCGGCGCGCGCGGGCUCCUCGGGCGGGCUCCAUGGCUGCGCCGCGGGCGGCACCAUCUCCGUGGCUCGCUCGUCACUCUCUCGCUCCAGGAGUGCGGCAGGCUGCGAGGUAGCUCUGAAGUCUUUAAGGAAUCAACAGUACCUAAAGAAUGUCACUGGAAUCAUCCUGAUGGAGGCAGGAACAUGAGGCUGAGAAGAAGAGCAAAAGACCCAUGGGCAAGGCAAGGAAAGGGACAGUAUGGAGUGAGGGACCAUACCCUUCUUCUCCAUGUCAUCUGUGUGGCCUGGCUGAAGCUCCUAAAUCACGGUGAGUUAAAAACAUCACGGACUUGUUUUUAUUUCCAUUGACCCCAUUUUAAUUGUAAAUGGUGAUUUAAAAACAUCUG